rnacentral:rRNA from 1 species
UACGGGGGGGGCAAGCGUUGUUCGGAAUUACUGGGCGUAAAGGGCUCGUAUGCGGCCAACUAAGUCGGACGUGAAAUCCCUCGGCUUAACCGGGGAACUGCGUCCGAUACUGGAUGGCUUGGAUUCGGGAGAGGAAUGCGGAAUUCCAGGUGUAGCGGUGAAAUGCGUAGAUAUCUGGAGGAACACCGGUGGCGAAGGCGGCAUUCUGGACCGAUAUUGACGCUGAGGAGCGAAAGCCAGGGGAGCAAACGGG